rnacentral:rRNA from 1 species
AUGAUCAUCUUAGCCUGGAACUGCCGAGGGUUGGGGUUGGACUCGGCAGUUGGCGAAUUGCGGGACCUAAUUAGGUCAUACAACCCAGCGGUGGUGUUCUUAUCAGAAACUAAAAAAAGGGCAGGGGCAAUGGAGAGGCUUAAGUGGAGCAUGGGCUUCAGCCAAGGUAUUGCGGUGGACUGCAAGGGUAAAAGCGGAGGCCUAGCACUAUGGUGGAGGGAUAAUGUGGAAAUUACAGUACGGCCAUGGUGCCAAUACUAUAUAGAUGCUAAGGUUGUAUACGAGGGGGUUACCUUUAGAUUCACUAGAAUCUAUGGGGAGCCAAGCAUCGAAAAGAGAAUGAAGACGUGGGAAAUUCUCCGUUACCUCCAAGCACAAGACAGUCUCCCGUGGCUCUGCACGGGUGAUUUUAAUGAAGCCCUUCGACAAAACGGACAAUAG